rnacentral:lncRNA from 1 species
AGACUGUGUCUAUUCUAGGAAGGCUGACACAUGAUGAGAAGAGUCAGUGGUCCUGAGGUACAGUACUUAAGAUAACCCUGUGAAGGCUGAGAUUGAUAUUUGAAAUUCACAACUGAUCUUGGAGCCUGGUACAGCAGUCAUGGAGCCAUAUUGGAUUGUGAAAGGAACUCAGUUGACCUGGCCUAUUGCAGAUUUAUUCUGAGAAUUUCAAUUCAGUCUUUGCUGCUGUUUGGAAAUCUUUCAUGAAUCUUUUAAUAACUUCCUUACAUACAUCUUGUUCCAUUAAAGCCCCAAAUUUGGCUUUGUCAGCUCUCUUUCUUCAUAAUCUUUAGGAUUUGUUCAUGUGUGGAUGUGAUGGAACUGAAGUCGCUAGGUUCAUGCUACCUGGAACAUGAGACUGACAAAUAGAGGAGCACUGAGUCAAAUGAAUCUCGGAGAAAUGGAGCUGGAAGAAAACUGGAGAAUGAAAGAAAAGAUAUACGCAAAGUGGAUUCUAAUCAUAGAGUUUCAUUCUUGUUGCCCAGGCUGGAGUGCAAUGGUGUGAUCUUGGCUCACCGCAACCUUGACCUCCUAGGUUCAAGUGAUUCUCCUGUCUCAGUCUCCUGAGUAGCUAGUAUUACAGGCAUGCACCACUAUGCCCGGCUAAUUUUGUAUUUUUAGUUGAGAUGGGGUUUCUCCAUGUUGGUCAGGCUGGUCUCGAACUCCCGACCUCAGGUGAUCCACCUGCUUCAGCCUCCCAAAGUGCUGGGAUUACAGGUGUGAGCAGCCGUGCCCUGCUGAAACUUAUUUGUUUGAGCAAUAAAAGCCACAUAUUUCCUCUUUUGAUAAAGUGUAAAAUUAUAGUACUCUUCCAAGAUACUCAUGGAUUGAUAACAAAAAACUAACAACUGGAUAUUGUUUUAAAUAUUGAAGAAAAGCAAACAAAUCAACAUCAGCCAUAACAUUGCUUCAUAUGCCAAAACCAGGAUGAAAUAAUGCUUUUAUAGAAGAUGUGACCUGGGAUCAAAUAGCAUCAUUUACCAAAUGCAAAGGAUUGGUGUAGCUCUUGACUUCAAGGCAUAUUAAAUCUAGCAAAGCUAAGAUUCAAUAUAGAUGUAGGUCCAAUUUCAUGACAAAAAAUCAAAGAAACCAACCAAAAUCAGAGAACUUAGUAAGUUUGUGGGUAUGCAAUCUACAGAAGUGAAUUAUAUAUAUAUGAUAAAAGAGAAGAAAAGACUCUAUUUACAAUUCAACAAAAAAGAUAAAACGCUUAGGAAUAAGUAUGAGAGAUGGGCAUGAUUUAUAUAAAGAACAUUUUAAGAUGCUACCAAAAAACACAAAAUAAAAUGAAUAAAUGGGAAAGCAUAUAAUUUCUUAGAUAGGAAAAGUCAACAUCACAAAAAUUUAAUUCAAUAAAAAUAGCAACAGCAUUUUUAUUUUGUAAUCAGAGACAAGCUAAUACUAAAGUUCAAAUGAAAAAAUAAAAAACAAAAAUAGUCAAGAAAAA